rnacentral:rRNA from 1 species
GAUGAACGCUGGCGGCGUGCCUAAUACAUGCAAGUCGAGCGAAUGGAUUAAGAGCUUGCUCUUAUGAAGUUAGCGGCGGACGGGUGAGUAACACGUGGGUAACCUGCCCAUAAGACUGGGAUAACUCCGGGAAACCGGGGCUAAUACCGGAUAACAUUUUGAACCGCAUGGUUCGAAAUUGAAAGGCGGCUUCGGCUGUCACUUAUGGAUGGACCCGCGUCGCAUUAGCUAGUUGGUGAGGUAACGGCUCACCAAGGCAACGAUGCGUAGCCGAGCUGAGAGGGGGAUCGGCCACACUGGGACUGAAACACGGCCCAGACUCCUACGGGAGGAAGCAGUAGGGAAUCUUCCGCAAUGGACGAAAGUCUGACGGAGCAACGCCGAGUGAGUGAUGAAGGCUUUCGGGUCGUAAAACUCUGUUGUUAGGGAAGAACAAGUGCUAGUUGAAUAAGCUGGCACCUUGACGGUACCUAACCAGAAAGCCACGGCUAACUACGUGCCAGCCGCCGCAGUAA